ACCCUGUAAACCUUUCUUCUGCGUUGCCGUUAACAGGAGGUAAGCCAUGUUUGGUUUUUCUUCCGGAGCCCUGAUGACUCUUGAUGAUGAGCGACACCUGUUUGUGUCUGUUGUUUCGGGCUGGCUCCGGCGUGCCGGGGGGAUGCAGCAUCUAAGCACGAAACUUGCCCCGAGAUGAGUUCUCCCUGAGACUUUAAGUCUCCUGAAGGAACGUUAAAGACGACGACGUUGAUAGGUCGGGUGUGUAAGCGCAGCGAUGCGUUGAGCUAACCGAUACUAAUGAACCGUGAGGCUCUCCCAC
rnacentral:rRNA from 1 species